GGGAGGCCUGGCGGGAGGCGGGGACCAGGAGGCCUCGGCGGGGACAGCGGGCCGGGCCUGGCCCGGGCGGGCGGCGGGAGGGGGCGCUGCGGGGCCGACCGGCCGCGGCGCGGAGGAAGUGCAGUCUUCCCGCCGCCUCAGCCGCCUCAGGCACGCCGCGGGGGCCGCCUCAGCCGCGCGGGCCGCGAUGUCUUCCCGGCCCGGACGCGACGACGCGGGGGCCGGGGGCGUGCGGCGGCCGCGGGAGCCGGCCGAGCAGGAGCUGCAGCGGCGCCGGGAGCAGAAGCGGCGGCGGCACGACGCGCAGCAGCUGCAGCAGCUCAAGCACCUGGAGUCCUUUUAUGAAAAACCUCCUCCUGGGCUUAUCAAGGAAGAUGAGACUAAGCCAGAAGACUGUAUACCAGAUGUACCAGGCAACGAACAUGCCAGGGAAUUUCUGGCUCACGCACCAACGAAAGGACUCUGGAUGCCACUGGGGAAAGAAGUCAAAGUUAUGCAGUGUUGGCGUUGUAAACGGUAUGGUCACCGAACAGGCGACAAAGAAUGCCCUUUCUUUAUCAAAGGCAACCAAAAGUUAGAACAGUUCAGAGUAGCACAUGAAGAUCCCAUGUAUGACAUCAUACGAGAGAAUAAAAGACAUGAAAAGGAUGUAAGGAUACAGCAGUUGAAACAGUUACUGGAGGAUUCUACAUCUGAUGAGGAUGGAAGUAGCUCCAGUUCCUCGGAAUGUAAAGAGAAACACAAGAAAAAGAAGAAGAAAGAAAAGCAUAAGAAAAGGAAGAAAGAAAAGAAGAAGAAGAAGAAACGAAAGCAUAAGUCUUCCAAGUCGAAUGAGAGUUCAGACUCGGACUGACAACAACUUGACUUGUUCAACAUUCUCUUCUCCCUAAUCAGACACUGUGGCCAAAGACCAGAGGAUGUGGAAUCGGGGAGGACUAGGAGAGAGCCGCCUAGAGAGCAGGGUAUUUGGUGUCACGUGUGUGAAUUCUCACCUGCCUUCCAGCAAAGAUGUGACCCCAGGAGGGCCAAUCUCCACCUGUGCCCUGGACCCCAACUCUCAGCCAGCAGUGGAGGGCAGGGAUUAAGAGCACUGGCUCUGGAGGAUCCACACUGCCUGGUUUUGAAAUCCAGCUGCACCAUUCGUGAGCUAUCAGACUGUGCAAGUUGCCUGACCUCUCUGUGCUGCCAUUUCCUUGACAGAUAAUAUUUACCUCCUAGAAUCAUCAAGAAUUAAGUGACUUGAUAGUUGUAAAACAUCUAGAACACAGUUUGGAACAUUUCAAUUGCUAAAUGAAUGUUAGUUGCUCCUGCAUACUUAUGCUAUCAUCAUUAUCUGUUCCUGCUUCCUCAGGGAUCUUCCUCCUUUCAUUAUCCCACUGCACUCUCUGUUGCCACUGGCAUUUAAAAACUGUUUUGAAAUUAUAACAGUAGGGGCACCUGGCUGGCUGAGUCAGUAGAACAUGCAACUCUUGAUCCCAGGGUUGUGAGUUCAAGCCCCAUGCUGGGCGUGGAGACUUCUUAAAAAAAAAUUUUGUUUCAGUAAAAUUUUAAAAGUAAUACAUGAUCAUAAAAAGUUCCCAAUUCAGAACCAUUACAGAGUAAAAAGUGAAAGGAAAAUCUACUUUAAAUGGUUUUAAAGAGCCUUCAAGAUCUUUUAAAAAAUACAUUACCAGUUUUUUAGUUUGACAUAACUGAAAAACACUAUGAAUACUAUUCUAUGACUUCAUCUCACUCUAUCUUGGCAGUCUCACUGCUUACUAACAAGCUUUAAAUGGCCACAAAAUCCUUGGUGGGAAUGUGCUACUUACCCAUUUAACCAUUCUUCUUUGUGCAAUUCAGUUGUUUCUUAUUUAUCCUUCUGUGGAAUGGUGAUUUAUGAGAAAUAUGUAUUUGGUUGUUGUCAAAGGGAGAAUGUUCUCUGCCCUUCAAGGUCCUUCUAACUGGACUAAGAAUCAAACUGACAUGAAACAGAAUAACAAGAGAAAAUCAAAGUUUCCUACAUAUGAAAUUCCAAAGACAGUGAAGCCAUAAGACGCUUAUAUGAGCUAAGGACAGGAGUAGGGGACUGAGCAAGACAUUACCAGGGAGAGGAGAGAUGCUUGGAAAACAAAGGCUGCCCUAUCACACAAAUAAGUAUCUUAGAUAAAGAGGAAUCUGUUAAUAGUGCUCUUCCUGGUACAGGCAGGAAGUUGAGGGGGAGAUAAAGAGCUUUUCCUGAAUCGGCUGGGUUUUGAUUGCUUUUAACUCAAUUCAUGUCAAAGUGACCCAUUUGAAGCAGCCUGCCCUUGGUCCCGUACAUGGUCAUUCAGAUGACCAAAAUAUAUUUCUCAUAUACGUUUGGUCUUUAUCUACAGUUUCUGGAUCACAUCUCCCCAAAACACUUGGAAUUUCAUGACUGAGGAGAGCAAUGGGAGAAUUUUUUCUUUUUUUUUUUUUUUUUUUUAGUAUUUGGUCUCCUGUUCCCGGUUCCUGAAGUCACUUCAGAGCCAUAAAGGCAAAAUGAGUGUUUUGUUACUCAUAACAAGCCCCUUUCCACCACAACUGGGUUUAUGUUAAUGAGGUGAAUUUUGGAAAACACCUAAGGAUAUAUAGCAUCAUCAGGAACUUUCAGUCCCACACCCCUGAUUUCAGGGGAGAGUAAAAGGGCCAGAGAGUGAAUGAAUCACCAAUAGGCAAUCAUGCCCAUGUAAUAUGGAGCCUCUAGUAUAUUUGAGAGCUUCCAGAAGGGUGAACACACGGAAGUCCUGGAAGAGUGGCGAACCAGGACAGGGCAUAGAAGCUCCUCACCCUCCCCACAUACAAGCAUCUGUUAUGCCUGGCUGUUCCUCAGUUACAUCCUUUUAUAAUAAGCCAAUAAUCUAGUAAGUAAAAUGUUUGUGUGUGUUCUCUGAGCUGCUCUAAGCAAAUUAAUCGAACCCAAAGCAGGGGGCAUUGGAACAUUCAAUCUAGUCUAUCAGAAUCAUAAGUGAUAACCUGGGCUUUUGAGUGGCAUUUGAAGAGGGGUGGGGCAAUCCUGUAGGACUGAGCCCCUUACCUGUGGAAUUUGAUACUCUCUCCAGGUAUUUAAUAUCAGAAUUAAGUUAAAUUAUAGGACACCCUGCUGGCAUCCUGAGAAUUCCCACACACACAUUGGAAUUGGUUCCAAAAUCUUUCAUCUUCCCACAAACACUAAUGAAAACCUAUGAGUAUAUAUCUUUGUGUACAUAUGUGCAUAUUUCAAAAGAAUAGCUCUUUAAUAGUGGAAUUACAUAUUUUAAUUUUCACAUACUACCAGAUUGCCCUCCAAGAAAGUCUGUAUCAAUUUUCACAACCUCUUACCUUGUUUAAAGGGGUCCAUUUCCCUGCCCAAGAGCAACUAAUAACUUCAAGGUUCUUUCAUCUCUUUAAAACAAAAAAAAAUCCUCCCUUGAUCCCAUAUCUGUCUAGCUCUUUCCUCUCCUUUAUAGCAGGAAUUUUGUUUUGUUUUGGGUUUUUUUUUUUUAAGAUUUAUUUUGGUGCGGGGAAUGAGUC